rnacentral:lncRNA from 1 species
CGUAGGAGUCCGGACGAAAUUUACCUGUAAGUGAAGUCGUGGGCAGAGCUCGGCUCCCGUAGGGGUCCGGGUGAAGCCUUUCAGCAGUUGAGGUUGGGAAUGAAGUUCGGCUCCCGUAGGAGUCCGGACGAAGUCUCCCUGUAGCUGGCGAGAUCAAGCUCCCGUAGGAGUCUGGUCAAAGUCUACCUGCAAUUAAAGUCAGAGGCGAGGUCCAGCUCUCGUAGGAGUCCGGACGAAGUCUCCUUGUAGCUGGCGAGAUCAGUCUCCCGUAGGAGUCCGGUCAAAGUCUACCUGCAAUUAAAGUCAGAGGCGAGGUCCGGCUCUCGUAGGAGCCCGGACGAAGUUUACCUGCAAGCGAAGUCGGGG